rnacentral:rRNA from 1 species
UUUCCUACGGGGCGCAGCAGUGAGGAAUAUUGGUCAAUGGGCGUAAGCCUGAACCAGCCAAGUCGCGUGAGGGAUGAAGGUUCUAUGGAUCGUAAACUUCUUUUAUAAGGGAAUAAAGUGUGGGACGUGUCCUAUUUUGUAUGUACCUUAUGAAUAAGGAUCGGCUAACUCCGUGCCAGCAGCCGCGGUAAUACGGAGGAUCCGAGCGUUAUCCGGAUUUAUUGGGUUUAAAGGGUGCGUAGGCGGGAUGCCAAGUCAGCGGUAAAAAUGCGGUGCUCAACGCCGUC